AUAUCCCUGCUGUCCUACCUGCACCGAGUAAAGGGUCUGUCAGUUGAUCUAAGGUCAGUAUGAAGCCAUGCAGAAACGUAUUCAAGAGGUUCAGAUAAUCACGUCAACAAUGCCUCUGUGUAUGCACUUACAUACUAACAUCUAUACAAGGUCAUCUCACACACAUGUGGUUCACGCCUCUACAAUGUGACAAGAGUGCGCCAUGAAACUAAUGCCAAGUUUAUAAUUACCCGUAUCGCUGACAAACUGAACAUGUUAUUCAAUGCCCCGGGUCUCAGUGAGGUUUAGUCCUCUACUUGGCAUUAGACUCGGAGCCGUUCGUACCAAUAACUGCAACCUUCGAGGAAAGAGACGUACUUGUUAUGGCAGGAGGUAAAAAGUCCCACGAUGUCUAUAUAUGGAUGCCAACACCGUUUUUGAAGACCGGACACGUGUCUCUGAAGUUGAGCGAUGGAACCCACAUAAGCUGGUGGCCACGGCACAGGAAAGAACUGAAGAAUGGCAGAAUUCAUCAUGCUGUGAGUGGAACAGAAACCACAAAUGGCACUGAUCUUGAUGACGACAUUCAGACUAUGGGGUACAAAUACGACGUGGAAUUCCAUAUACCAACAAAACGUUUAAAGCUUCAGAAAAUGAAGAAUUCCUGGUCAUCUAUUCUUUUGAAAUGUGAAUUUAAUCCAAUGAAAGAAAACUGCUGCUGGGUCGUUUACAACGUGUUACAGGCUGGGGGUGCUGCAUCUGCGGAUGUGCAGUCUCCAUGGCGACCGUGGAUGAUACGGCAGUAUGUGUCCAGCUUAGUUGGGGAAUCGCGAAUUCAUUAGAUGAUACACAAUUUAUAUACGCUACUUGAACACUUGCUGUUCUGGACGCGGGAUGAUUUUCCCAGAAGCUAUGUUGAAGUGCGAGGAAGGAAAUGUCCAGUUUUGUCAUUAUGUGUUGAUUGCUUUAUAUAAGUAUAUAGUUUUUUAUAUUUGAAUAUAUUCAUACAUGAAUACGUGAAUACAUAAAAACAAGAUAAGCUCCGCUUCCUUCCGUCCGAAUAUCGACACCUAAAUGAUGUUGAAACCACCCUUUGUAUGCAAACGUUCAUGAAACAUGGUUUUGUUAAGGGGUGUAUAAGAUUACAACACAGAAGCUGAUCAUCCAUAAACACCUGUAAUUCCUAUUACACAAAUAGUCCAUACGUUUCGGCUAUCUUCAUAUGCUUUAUAUUAUGUCGUGUUAUGUCCUUGUUUCCGUUUUAAAACUGUUCAUUGUUAUAACUGUACUGAAAUAACAAUCUAAACAAAAUGCAUUCUAAAAUGUUCAAUAAAUGUUCACAUGCAUGAAAGUGUCUCUGGGAGUAUUUCUUAAUGGAGACUUGAACUGAAAUUUAUCUCCGAAGUUUAAACAAGUUAAUCCUAUUUUCUCAGUAGUGACGUCAACUCGAAACUACUGUUUAUGAUCGAGGAAAACGCGCUUCGGUUUCGUCAUGAGGAAAUGUUUCUGUUGCCUGAAUCCGGGUUGAACAACAGUAGUAUUGUGUGUUCUUGAGGCUAGAUGUACGGCGUGGGUGUUGAACGCACAGUACAAUCUGUCAUACGGCUGUUCAAGUUACAGACAGAUUUGAAUUAUAGAGUUUGAACACACUGACUCACGUUGCUGCACCUGUAUAUGAACAGCAUUUCGAUCCCUCAAGUCACUCUGUCUUCAGGAAGUGAUUACACCUGUAGAGCACGGGGGCACACAAAGGACGACAGUAAACGUAAAUGGGCGCGAAACCAGGGAAAGAAAAGGGGUCCGAAAUUCGAAGUGAACGUCAAUAGUCCGGACCAAAGAGGAGGAACGUACAUCACCAAUGAGGGCAGCGUAGGUAACAUAGCCACUGGCGACCACCACUCAGGCCAUAUGACUGCCUCAGUUAGCGGACAGUCGGGAAACAGUCCAAAGAAAUAGAACGCCAAGAAGAGACGUAACAGAUAAUGGCGUCCGGGAUCAGUGUCCACAGGGUUUACAUUUGGUUGCCAAGACAACAUUUGCAGAUCGGGGGUCAUGUGUCUUUGCAACUCCACGAUGGAACAUACAUAAGUUGGUGGCCACAGCAUGGCAAAGACUUUGAAGUAGCAAAGAUUGACUUUACCCAGCAGACCAUACCGGCAUCAAAUGGUACCGAUGUAGAAGAAGAUAUACAGACCAUGGGAUACAAGUAUAACCAUGUGUUUGAGAUACCUCUAGAGCGUUUGGAUCUACAAAAAAUGAAAGACUUCUGGUAUUCUGUUCUUUCAGCUCGUAAAUUUGACCCCAAAAGGGAGAACUGCUGCUGGGUAGUGUACAAGGUUCUUCUUGCAGGAGGCGCUCCUUUGGCAGACGUGUGGUCACCAUGGCGACCCGGGAUGAUACGACGAUACAUGGUCAACUUUGUUGGAGGGGAGGAGUCUUGGAUAUAUCGACGAAUCGGAAAUUUUCUUCCCUUCUAAGGCCAUGUUUAGAAGUCCAAUUGUAAGCUUUAUUGAAAGAUGGUUCUGAUGCCUGGCAAUGAUGGCGUCAUAGCUUCUGACGACGAUGCCGCAUUGACCACACAAGAUACACGCUUGAAAGUUUAUUUAAAGGGAGGAUCUUCUGUUUUGUAUCCAUUGUGAUGAGAGACUGCUUGACUGUGUUGACUUGUACACCAAAGGGGAUAAAUAUUUCAGUGUAACAACGGUUAGAUAUCUUUUUAAUAAUGUCAAUUGUCGUUUAAUUGUUGAUCUUUUAAAAGAUUUAGAACUGAUUGAUAGAUUUUGAUUAAUAUGUUUUGUAGAUAGGUGUAUUUUUUAUAACUGGUAGUUUAAAUUAGCAGCUGAGGUUGUUAGUGGCUGUAUCCUCAGAGGGGGUUAAAAUAUCGUAAAAUUAUUGUCCUCCCGAUGGGAUACGCAAGUAACUUUAGAUCUUCCGCUAUCUAUAAUUGUAGGAGUAGUAUCUGUGUUAUGUUAAUGCAUGACUAGCUUUUUGUCUACAUCUGAAAGGAUGGUGUAAAUCCAGCUUGGGUUCAUAACAGGAAGCCGGGAUCGUGUGGUCAGGCUCGAUUUGACUUGGUUGAAUUCACAUGUCAUCAGUUCCCAACAGCGCAGAUCGAUGCUCAUGCUGUUGAUUUUUAGUGUUUACCAAAACAUGCUGUACAUCCCAUCGCCUAAUUUCUAUUAUUGUACAUCCCAAUCACCUAAUCUCUAUCACUGUAUAUCCGUUACUGGCUUCCAUCUAUGGAUAUAAACUCUAAGUAAACAUGUUGUACAAACAGUAUGUAUACCAUAUUUAACUUGAUCCCCUCGCCAAUCUGUUGUAAUAUCAACUCUGUGGCUUCAUGUACAUACUAUACAUACCUCUGUAACUACUCACUGUCAUUCACCUGGUGAUGGGGCAAGUAUUAUCACAGAAACGUUGUGUGUAAAUAAUAAAGAAGUUGCACAUCCAUA